UCUUAAGUAGGCUCCACGCAGAGCCCGACUCGGAGCUCGAUCCCACCACCCUGGGAUCAUGACCUAAGCCAAGAUCAAGAGUUGGACGCUCGACUGUCUGAGCCACCCAGGCACCCCCAUUGUUUGCAUUUUGAUGAACAUUAUUACUUUGCACAUAGAUUUAUAUAUAGAUUGUUGUGGAUUUAUACAGUUUUCCGUAAAUGGAUUGUAUGGCACAUAUUAUAUAUGUUAUUCUGUAAUCAUUUCUCCCUCAACACUAUCUUCACUGGUAGAAAUGUUUCUAAGCAGAUAUGUUUUCUGAAGACUGUGGACAACUAUUUUGACCUCUUUUGAUUUUGGAGGCUCUUUUAGAAACAGGUGUGAACCUCCAUGCCCAGGCUUCAGAAAGCCAAGAACACUGAGAAGAAUGACACUAACAAAUGUUGGACAGAGGGGCAAAGAGGGGCAAAGAUGACCGCCUGUUUCUUUAUAGAAAUGUAAAAUGUAACCAUCAGCAUAAACUGUAGCAAGGCUGGACUCUUACUCCAACACGACUGGUAUCCUUACAAGAAGAGACACAUACACAGAGAACACUAUGUGAGGGCACAGAGAUGCAGAAAAGAUGGCCAUUGGAGUCAUGUACCUACAGCCGAGGUCCCCAAGGAUCAUGGACAACCACUGGGAGCUGACAGGCAGGGAACGAUCAAAUUCUUCCCUAAAGCCUACCGCAAGGAGCCAGCCCCGCCAACACCUUGACUUUGGUCUUCGAGCUACCAGGGCUUUGCCUGCCUGCCCUUUUUGUGUUUAUCUUGUUAAGUACUGACAGGCUUAAAAUAUAGACCCCUAGAGGGCAAGAUUCAUAUCUAUAUGGAGUGUGCUGCAGAACAUACACUCAUGCCUCAUACCCUUCUGCACAAAUUAUUUUUGACGACACCCUGUGCCUUUCUGACUUUAUAAUCUUGAGUAACUUGAGCUACGUGACUCCUGGGGUUUUUUUCACCACCGCGGUCUCAGAGCUCCAAAAUUUGGAUCGGAGACAUGGAAACACCUUUGGAAAACCUUUAUGUGAAACAGGAAGCACAAUUCAAAGUUUAUGCUCUGGCUGUUGGGAGAAAUGGAAGCGAACGGGAGCUGGGAAGCCAGACCACGCAGCGGUAGGCUUCCACCCGAGGACGGAAGGGAAUCCUAAUGGGAAAGUGCCUAGUGUGUCCGGCCUAGCGGCGAUGCUCCCGAAGUGAUCGCUCGUCCCAAGCCGUCUGCCAAGGCUUCUCGGGUCCUGAAUUCUCCCCCAGUUCACGUGUGCUGAUCGACAGUGAAUGGAAAGGAGAGCACAGAGGAGUUGCCGCCCCAAGCGAAGAAAAAGUCCCGGAGCCCGCAUUUGCCACUACGCUUUCCGAGCAAGCGCUCGUCCCCCAUUGCUCAUUCUAGCCCCGUUUCCCCUUGACCCUGUAAACGCAUCGGGAGCUGGCCCAGAAACCCUCCGAUUUGCGCGCAUCGCAACACGCUGCACGUUACAAUCAAGUUGUUGGGUUUUUA